rnacentral:rRNA from 1 species
UACAGAGGUCUCAAGCGUUGUUCGGAUUCAUUGGGCGUAAAGAGCUCGUAGGCGGUUUGUUGCGUCGGCUGUGAAAUCCCGAGGCUCAACCUCGGGUCUGCAGUCGAUACGAGCAAACUAGAGUGUUGCAGGGGAGACUGGAAUUCCUGGUGUAGCGGUGAAAUGCGCAGAUAUCAGGAGGAACACCGGUGGCGAAGGCGGGUCUCUGGGCA